rnacentral:lncRNA from 1 species
AAUUGGAAUUAAAAUCCCACAGACAUUCCUUUUUGUUAAUCAACUCUAUUAAUCUGCAUUCUCGUUCAGCAUUUCAGCCCAUGCUUCUAGCCAUUUGAUUUUGAGUGUAUUGCUGAUGAUGACAGAGAAAGAACUUCUCAUUGGAUGUGCAGUUGCGACCAUCGCCACAAGAACAAAUUUUUUGUUGACCAGCGACGUCGCAUCAACAACCAGUUCGGAGGGGUUUACAAGUUAGAGAAGAGCCGGUCACGGUUGCGGCCAAAAAUCGCAAGGUGUGACCACUGCUUAAGGAUGAAUGAUGAACUACUUUGCAUAUAUAUGCAUGCAUGUAUGUGUGUAAAAUAUAUGAUAUGCUAAUCUGAUGUAUUUAUUUGACUAGUAAUGAUUGAUU